rnacentral:rRNA from 1 species
ACUCCUACGGGAGGCAGCAGUGGGGAAUAUUGCACAAUGGGGGAAACCCUGAUGCAGCCAUGCCGCGUGUGUGAAGAAGGCCUUCGGUUGUAAAGCACUUUCAGUAGGGAGGAAGGUAGUGUAGUUAACACCUGCAUUAUUUGUACGUUACCUACAGAAGAAGCACCGGCUAACUCCGUGCCAGCAGCCGCGGUAAUACGGAGGGUGCGAGCGUUAAUCGGAAUUACUGGGCGUAAAGCGCAUGCAGGCGGCCUGUUAAGUCAGAUGUGAAAGCCCGGGGUCUUAACCUCGGAAUUGCAUUUGAAACUGGCAGGCUAGAGUCUUGUAGAGGGGUUAGGAAUUUCAGGUGUAGCGGUGAAAUGCGUAGAGAUCUGAAGGAAUACCAGU